UACAGAGGGGGCAAGCGUUGUUCGGAAUUACUGGGCGUAAAGGGCGCGUAGGCGGCCAACUAAGUCAGACGUGAAAUCCCUCAGCUUAACUGGGGAACUGCGUCUGAUACUGGAUGGCUUGGAUUUGGGAGAGGGAUGCGGAAUUCCAGGUGUAGCGGUGAAAUGCGUAGAUAUCUGGAGGAACACCGGUGGCGAAGGCGGCAUCCUGGACCAAUAUUGACGCUGAGGAGCGAAAGCCAGGGGAGCAAACGGG
rnacentral:rRNA from 1 species